CAGGCAUAUCUUGAGUGUAAAUACUUUUCUAACACAUCUAAUUUUUUGUUUACAGCAGACUUGUACAUCUUACUAAAAGCUUACAACAAUUU